AGCUUUUGCCGAGAAGAAAGGAGCCGUGUCGUGCCCGUGGAACCCUAUCCAUCCCGCCGCCAGCCGCCCGGCCGCCGUGUCCCGUAUCCGGUGUCUCGUUGACCUCCGCCCCUGCCCAUCCGUCUGGCAUCCUUCGGCGUUCCGCCUCAGCAAAAGGUUAACAGGCUCGCGUGUCCUGCCGCCAGCAAGCAACACAGCCGCUGCUCGCGAUGCCGACAAUCAGCGUCGGCCGCGANNNNNNNNNNNNNNNNNNNNNNNNNNNNNNNNCGCAAGACGAAUUCGAGGCACUCUGCUUCGAUUUCGGCAUCGAACUCGACGACGUGACCACAGAGAAGGCCAUCAUCCGGAAGGAGAAGCACCUGGAGGAAGAUGUCGAAGCGGACGGUGACGACGAGGUCAUCUACAAGAUUGAGGUUGCUGCCAAUAGAUAUGAUUUGUUAUGUCUUGAAGGAUUAGCAAGAUCUCUUCGCAUUUUCACUGGGAGUGAAGCAACCCCUAUAUUUAAAAUUGCUUCAAUCCCCCGUGGUUCAAUGCUUCAGAUGCAUGUUAGACCACAGACGUCACAAAUUAGACCAUAUGUAGUUUGUGCUGUCCUAAGAGGAGUAACUUUUGAUGAAGUCAGAUACAACAGCUUCAUUGAUCUUCAAGACAAACUCCAUCAAAAUAUUUGCCGGAAGAGAACUCUUGUUGCUAUUGGUACCCAUGAUUUGGACACUCUGCAAGGACCCUUCUCAUACGAGGCUCUACCACCACAGGAAAUCAAUUUUAUCCCAUUAAAACAGGAGCAAGAGUUCAGGGCAGAUGCAUUGAUGGAUUUCUACAGAUCUGACAUGAAGUUGAAGAAGUUUUUGCAUAUUAUCGAGAAUUCUCCAGUUUACCCAGUUAUAUAUGAUAGCAACAGAACUGUAUUAUCGUUACCUCCUAUCAUCAAUGGUGCACAUUCUGCUAUCACCCUGAAGACAAGGAAUGUGUUUAUCGAAUGCACCGCUACAGACAUUACAAAAGCAAAUAUUGUUCUGAAUACAAUGGUCGCAAUGUUUUCGGAGUACUGUGAAAAUAAGUUUGAAGUGGAACCAGUUGAAGUGGUAUCUCAUGAUGGAAGCACAGCCAUUUAUCCUGAUCUUUCAUGUUAUAAAAUGGAAGUUUCGUUCUCUGAUAUUGUUGGACCCAUUGGAAUCUCCCUAGAUGAGACGCAGGUUAUCUCCCUUCUGAACAAAAUGCAAUUGCAAGCGGAACUUUGUUCAUCAAAUGGGGAGCCUUGUAUUUCAGUGUCUGUCCCUCCUACAAGAAGUGAUGUUCUGCAUGCUCGUGAUCUAGCAGAGGAUGUUGCUAUAGCUUAUGGGUACAACAAUGUGCCAAAAUCAAAGCCAAAGUCUAUGACAAUAGGUGGAAGGCAACCACUAAACCGUUUCUCUGAUAAAAUUCGUGCUGAGGUUGCAAGAGCUGGUUAUAUGGAGGUGCUCACAUUUGUUUUGACUUCACACGAAGAGAACUUUGACAUGCUAAACAGGACAGACGAUGGAAAUAAAGCAGUCAUUAUUGCAAACCCCCGUACUUCUGAAUUUGAGGUUGUAAGAAGUAGUCUGAUGUCAUGUUUGUUGAAAACGCUGAAGCAUAAUAUAGACCAUCCAAGACCCAUAAAGAUUUUUGAAGUUGGUGAUGUAGUGUCAUUGGAUACUUCACGUGAUGUUGGUGCCUCUAAUAAUCGCCGGCUUGCAGCUUUGUACUGUAAUAGUAAUUCUGGAUUUGAGGAAAUUAUGGGUUUGGUGGAUAGGAUUGUCAAAAUCGUGAGAGCUCCACACAUAAAUUUCGGCCAGACUUACUAUGUUCCUUCAAGUGAACCCGAGUUCUUUACUAAAAGACAAUGCAAAAUUGUUAUGAGUGAUGGAAAGCAGGUUGGCUACUUAGGAAUUGUCCAUGCUGAGGUGCUAAGAAAAUUCGGCAUUCCGGACCCCUGCACUUUCGUUGAGAUUGACAUCGAGGCUCUUUUGUAGUUGCCAUGUAUAUGAAUCAGGGGAUUCGCCCGUUGGUUUUGUUCACUUGACAGUUUGGCAGGCGUGUGGUAUCUCAACAAAACAGGACCCUCAUUUUUGUUUGGACACCACAUGCUCAAUUGUAGUAGCUCACAUUGGUGCUUGCAUGUUUGAGUUGGAAAAAUGAAGAAGUAUCAUGAUACUGUAGAUGCCUCGGCUUUUUGUGAGUGAAAGUUGUGCCUUACUUUGUUUCCGUUUUGAUACAAUUAUACAGCACCAUUUUGGCACACAUGUUUCUAUGAAAUAUGCCUGUUAUUAAUAUUGUGAAGAGUUUGAUGGUGGAAAGGCAACCACUUGGUUCAUGAAAUCCC
rnacentral:rRNA from 1 species